CUGUUGUUUAUUUAAGUUAUUAGGUAGAAAAUAACGAAACCGUAAUUGCUAAUUAAAAUCUAAUUUCACUAAUCUAAAAAGUAUCACGCAUUUACCUACGUCUAGACAUUAAUAGGAUUCUUGGGCGUUAACUCGAAGAAGUCAAGACAAAUUUUAAUUUAGUGCACUAAAAUGAAUUUGCUGUCGUUUUUAAUUCUGGGCAUAAUUUUUGUAGUGGAGGUAUUUGCGCAGGUUCCGUAUGACUACAUACCUUUGGGUCGACAAGCUCGUAGGGACCGCCAGCAACCUCAUCCUUCCGAUAUUAAUCUAAAUUAUGAGAGGCUUUUCCCUAUGCGACGCGAAGGCUUUGAUUAGUUCUAUUAUAUUUGCCCCAAUUUAAUGCAUAACACGUCAGUAUUACAACUCGAUGCAGCAAAAUGUUACUAAGUUUCAUUAUAUUUAUUUAUAUGUUCGUGUUAUAAACAAAAUAAAAUUUCGUUUUAAAAUCACAAUAGGUAGAUAAGGUUACAGUUGUAUUAUUUUUUAAAGUAAUUUAAUAUCAAUCAUUGUUGUUGACGAUUAAAAAAAUAUGAUGUUUGUAUUCA